rnacentral:rRNA from 1 species
UACGUAGGGUGCAAGCGUUGUCCGGAAUUAUUGGGCGUAAAGAGCUCGUAGGCGGUUUGUCGCGUCUGCUGUGAAAACUCGGGGCUUAACCCCGGGCCUGCAGUGGGUACGGGCAGACUAGAGUUCGGUAGGGGAGACUGGAAUUCCUGGUGUAGCGGUGAAAUGCGCAGAUAUCAGGAGGAACACCGGUGGCGAAGGCGGGUCUCUGGGCCGAUACUGACGCUGAGGAGCGAAAGCGUGGGGAGCAAACAGG